AUUAAUAAAGUGAUAUCAACUCAGUUUUAUUUAAGAGACAAACAAUGUAGGUAAACAGUAGCAUGCGAAUAAGAGCACCUCUCUAUCAGGGAACAGAAAAUUUAAAUCAGCAUACUAGGCUACAUAUCCAAUGUACAGUUCUGUUCAAAGAACGGCAUCAUGGCUAGAGGAAGAGGAAGGGAAGGCUGUGGACAGUGUGCGCAGUUCUGAGAGACUCCCCAUCCCCGGGGGAUGAGAAUCAGAUGGGCAGCAGAGAAGGCUGGCUGUGGGCCCUUCUCCCCCUGGACAGGAAUGUAGAUUGGGAACCUAUGUCUGAGUACAGCAUGCACCCAAAACCUAAGCAAAGUACACAAUAAAAUUAAAGAGUCGCAAAAACCCUCUUGUGAUUAACACAAAGAUGCCGAGAACUGAUGACAAUAUGAACCGUGAGCUACCAAAGCUGUUUUUAAAAUCAAACACGAGUAAUUCCUGCACAUGGACGCUAGACAAGGCAACUCUGCAAUGUGUAACUCAGACCUAGCAUGGACACACCUGAGACAAAGCAAAGGGAGCUAGAAGCAGCCAGGUGUCUCCCCCAAGCACAUCCUCAGCUCUUCUAGGACCACAAAGCUCGACUCUCACACACUAUCUGGCAGCAGCUCAGAGCCAGCCGCCCUGUUCAGCCCUCUCUAUAGCUGACAAAAACCAAAGCGCCUUUAGUCCCUUCUGACACCAGAUUACAGGAACAGCUCCCUCCCCCAUCUGCUGGGAGCGCUCUCAUCCCUGCAGAUGAACUGGCCUGUCUUGCUCAACUACAGGUGGGCUCCCUGUGUUAGAAAUCUAAGAACAUACUAACUAUAUGCCGCUCUGAAACAAACAAACAAACAAACAAACAAAACUGGAGUCAGAAAUUGGUGGUUUAUUUAAGGUCAGCCUGUGGAGAAUACAGGAGACUUUGCAUCCCAGUUGCCAUAUUCGUACCAUAGCUCAGCGAUGCAAAGAACUUUUACCAGACACGAAGGGGUUAUGGUGUGGCUGUGGGUGGAACUUUACCCAGGACUUCACGCCUCCAUCGGUCCAGGACCUCCCUGACUUCCGAGCGCCACCUCCUGGGCGGCACCGGUAUCUUCUUUCUAGGCAAACCAUUCUGGGAGUCCGUUAGCCUCACUGGAAGCAGGGGCAUUGUAGAGAUCUAGUUAAAAGAAUUAACCAGCCGGGCCAGUGGGAGUGCACGCCUUUAAUCCCACCACUCGGGAGGCAGACGAAGGUGGAGCUCUUUGAGUUCGAGGCCAGCCUGGUCUUCAGAGCGAGUGCCAGGACUGCCAAAGCUGUUAUAAAAUGAAAAGCAAAAACAAUUAAAAAAAAAAAAAGAAUCUUCCAGCACCAAAUAAAGGACAUUUUGCAAGUAUUUGCUUCCUUGGUCUUUAGCAAGUACUUCUGUGCACAGCGUCUCACUCAUCCAUACAGAGACAAAGUCUUGUUAUGUACCUCAGUCUGGCCUGGAAUAUUCUGUUACUGACAUUGACCUUAAACGUGAGGUCUCGCUGCCAUAGCUCCCAGACUGCUGGAAUUACAGGUGUGUAUCAACACAGCCCACCAGAGUAAAUCUACAAGUAUUAAAAUUAUGAAGUGAUGUUUGCAUCAUGUCUGAGGAGUGGCCCGAGGAGAUGGCCCAGUUGGCAAAAUUCUGCUCCACAGGCAUGAGGACCCGAGUUCAAUCCGCAGAAUCCACAUUUAAGAAUAAAAAGUAACUCUCAGUGAUGGGCACCUGUGAUCCCAGCCUGGGCAGGUAGAGACAGUGCAGAGAGAGCUCCUGUCUCAAAAAAAUAAGGGGGCUAGAGAGAUGGCUCAGAGGUUAAGAGCACCGGCUGCUCUUCCAGAGGUCCUGAGUUCAAUUCCCAGCAACCACAUGGUGGCUCUCAACCAUCCGUUAUGAGAUCUGGUGCUCUCUUCUGGCCUGCAGAUAUACAUGGAAGCAGAAUGUUGUAUACAUAAUAAAUAAAUAAAAUAUUUAAAAAAACUUUCUAU
rnacentral:lncRNA from 1 species